GACGAACGCUGGCGGCGUGCUUAACACAUGCAAGUCGAACGGAAAGGCCCUGCCUUUGUGGGGUGCUCGAGUGGCGAACGGGUGAGUAACACGUGAGUAACCUGCCCGUGACUUUGGGAUAACUUCAGGAAACUGGGGCUAAUACCGGAUAGGAGCUCCUGCUGCAUGGUGGGGGUUGGAAAGUUUCGGCGGUUGAGGUUGGACUCGCGGCUUAUCAGCUUGUUGGUGGGGUAGUGGCUUACCAAGGCUUUGACGGGUAGCCGGCCUGAGAGGGUGACCGGCCACAUUGGGACUGAGAUACGGCCCAGACUCCUACGGGAGGAAGCAGUGGGGAAUAUUGCACAAUGGGCGGAAGCCUGAUGCAGCAACGCCGCGUGCGGGAUGACGGCCUUCGGGUUGUAAACCGCUUUCGCCUGUGACGAAGCGUGAGUGACGGUAAUGGGUAAAGAAGCACCGGCUAACUACGUG
rnacentral:rRNA from 1 species